rnacentral:misc_RNA from 1 species
UUUGGAGGAAUCAGAAUCCUUAGUCGCCCGCAAAUUCCAGUCCCCUUCCCAGAUCCCGAUGGCGAUUACACCAUUCUUAUUGGAGAUUGGUACAAGUCUAAUCACACGGCUUUGAGGGCUCAUUUGGAUCGUGGUAAGAAGCUGCCUUUCCCUGAUGGAAUUCUCAUCAAUGGUCGCGGGCCCAAUGGUUAUGCACUUACUGUUGAACAAGGAAAAACUUACAGGCUC